GUUCUAUCUACAGGUAGAGAUGAAAGAAUACAGGCAAUAGCUACUCAAAUCAAUACAUCAAGAAACAGUGCUGCACAACUUAACCUGUCUCAACAUCACCUUAUACCCAACACCUGGAGAGGAUCAUACAAGGAGAACUCAGAGAAAUCCGGCCAACAGGUGUAAUUUGUUGCCUGUUGGAGACGGUAGCUAGUAGUACCUGAGUCUUUAUUUGAUGAUGAUGAGCUCAACAACCUACCACAAGUGGCUGGAAUUACUUUAACAUCAUGAGGAUCAAGCUUGCUGGAGAAGUGUGCCAGGUGAUCAGCUGCAGGGCAACAUUUGGAUUUUCCUUACUGGAACCAUAAUGAAUUUCUCCAAGGUGCCAGAACUGCAGUUCCCAUAAGAGAUGGUGCCGGCGGCCGCCAUGAGCAGCGGGGCGCGGGCCCGCGGCAGGAGGAGGGCAGCCCGCCCCAGCCCGCCUUCCCCCGCCAGCUCCGAGGGCGAGGAGCCCCUCAGUUCUUCCUCGUGCUCCCAGCUCUCCCCUGUUUCCCGGCACAGCUCCCGCAGCUGCGAGGAGGAGGAGGAAGAGGGGGAUGUGGCCUCCCAGAGCCAAAAAGGCAAUAGAAAGGCUGAAGACUCUGAAAUAAUAGGGGGAAGAAAUCGUUCACCUUUGAAAGAUAAUCUUUCACCAUGGGAAGAAUGGUUCAUUUGCAAAGAGAAGGAACUACGUGCCCGCUUGCAAGUUAGAGCUCUGGAGGAAAUUAAUCUACAGCUUGAGAAAAUGAAAGAAAAGCAAGAAUCUGAAAGAAGGAGAAGGAUAGCUGAAGAGAAGCACAAGGAAUGGGUGCAAAAAAAAAGAGAAGAGGUAAAUAUUGCUUUAGUUGUAAAUAUUAUAGCACAUGCUAUGCUUUAGUAAACCUAUGUAAAA
rnacentral:lncRNA from 1 species